CAUACGGCUCAGUAACACGUAGUCAACCUACCCUCGAGUCUGGGCUAACCUCGGGAAACUGAGGACAAUCCCGGAUAGGUGAGGGAUGCUGGAAUGCUUCCUCGCUUAAAGUUCCGGCGCUCGAGGAUGGGACUGCGGCCUAUCAGGUAGUUGGCGGUGUAACGGACCACCAAGCCUACGACGGGUACGGGCGAUGGGAGUCGGAGCCCGGAGAUGGGGACUGAGACAAGGCCCCAGGCCCUACGGGGCGCAGCAGGCGCGAAAACUCCGCAAUGCGCGAAAGCGUGACGGGGGGACCCCAAGUGCCGUUGUACUUUGUACGACGGCUUUUCAGUAGCGUAAGAAACUACCGGAAUAAGGGCUGGGUAAGUCUGGUGCCAGCCGCCGCGGUAAUACCAGCAGCCCAAGUGGUGGUCGCGUUUAUUGGGCCUAAAGCGCUCGUAGCCGGGCCGGUAAGUCCCUUGUGAAAUCGGACGGCUUAACCGUUCGGCUUGCAUGGGAUACUGUCGGCCUUGGGGCCGGGAAAGGUCGGAGGUACUCCGGGGUUACCGGUGAAUGCUGUAAUCCCUGGGGGGAACACCAUUGGCCAAUGUCUUUUCCCCAAACGAAAUGAACGGAUGAAGGGGGAAAGCUUGGG
rnacentral:rRNA from 1 species